GAAAAAACAAGAAAGAUAUCCAGUGUUUCCUGUAUUUCAUAAACACCAUAUAAUUUCAUUUCAUCAAAAUUUCCAUUCAAAUACUGGAAUCAUGUUAGGCCACUCUCUGGGAUUAAGUCUGCCUAAUAAGAAUACACAAAUUCUCUUCCUUCUGGAUUACCUUAGAUCUUGCCCUACAAUGUUAGAAAUUUACCUAAGAGAUUAAAAUUCAAAUGUAUGAACAUGUUUUUCUUUUCCUUUGCAGCAGAGGAUCUUUUAUUGUAAAUGCUGUUUAAUGCUGAAUUGGCAGGAAAGAUUCUAUCAAGUACAGAUGUAAACAGCACGUGAUUUCAUUGUGAAUACAGAGCCAUGUAGAAAUGACGGGAAUUUGGUCAGUCGUACACUGAUGAAGCUGCACUGAACUAAGCAUCUCUGCCCUGCUAGGCCCCUCUGCCAUGACAUUUCUGCCUUGGAACCAGCCUCCCGUGGAAAGAAUCCUCCGAAACUAUGAAGAAAAUAAAGCCAAGAAGCAUGAUGAAGAGUCUCACAGGUUCCACCAUCUCUCAACAUCACCCCAGUGAGGACCACACUUCCAUCACCUGAACCCUUGGAGGACCAUACCUACACCAUCACAAAGAGAAACAUGAAGGGAUAGGUAAGACCAGAGAGGAUGUGCAAUGAGUCCUUUCCUUUGGCUCCCAAGGUGUCACAAUUGCCCCACGAAAAUGAAUUAGGAAUUAUACAAGAUCUGUAUUCUAUAUUAUUUCCAGGUGGAUAUAUAAAUAUAUUCAGUGCUGGGGCCAGUUAUAUGAAAUCUAUAG
ensembl:lncRNA